rnacentral:rRNA from 1 species
UACCGGCAGCACGAGUGAUGACCGCUNUUUUGGGCUNAAGCGUCCGUAGCCGGCCANGCAAGUCCAUCGGGAAAUUCCGCACGCCUAACGUGCGGGCNUCCGGUGGAAACUGCUUGGCUUGGGACCGGAAGAUCCAGAGGGUACNUCCGGGGUAGGAGUGAAAUCCCGUAAUCCUGGACGGACCACCGGUGGCGAAAGCGCUCUGGAAAGACGGAUCCGACGGUGAGGGACGAAAGCUUGGGUCACGAACCGGAUUAGAUACCCGGGUAGUCCAAGCUGUAAACGAUGUCUGCUAGGUGUGGCACAGGCUACGAGCCUGUGCUGUGCCGUAGGGAAGCCGUGAAGCAGACCGCCUGGGAANACUNUGCAAGAGAUA